GAGGAAGAAGAAGAUGGGAGAAGCAGAAGAGGAGUGGGAUGUGAGAGAAACAACCAUGCAGACACCGAGAGGGAAAGCUGUAUUCUGCCACAGUGACUGACUUCCUUGCAAUAGAUGCCAUCAUAUACUGAAGCCUUGGAGACACCCCAGCUCUGCAGACAGUUAAACAUGACUCAAAAUGGUUGAAAGAACCAUAUUUUGUCCAGGCAGUGGACUAUGGCAACUAUAUUUACUUCUGGGAAAUAGC